AUUGAACGCUGGCGGCAGGCCUAACACAUGCAAGUCGAGCGGAUGAAGGGAGCUUGCUCCUGGAUUCAGCGGCGGACGGGUGAGUAAUGCCUAGGAAUCUGCCUGGUAGUGGGGGAUAACGUCCGGAAACGGGCGCUAAUACCGCAUACGUCCUGAGGGAGAAAGUGGGGGACCUUCGGACCUCACGCUAUCAGAUGAGCCUAGGUCGGAUUAGCUAGUUGGUGGGGUAAAGGCCUACCAAGGCGACGAUCCGUAACUGGUCUGAGAGGAUGAUCAGUCACACUGGAACUGAGACACGGUCCAGACUCCUACGGGAGGCAGCAGUGGGGAAUAUUGGACAAUGGGCGAAAGCCUGAUCCAGCCAUGCCGCGUGUGUGAAGAAGGUCUUCGGAUUGUAAAGCACUUUAAGUUGGGAGGAAGGGCAGUAAGUCAAUACCUUGCUGUUUUGACGUUACCAACAGAAUAAGCACCGGCUAACUUCGUG
rnacentral:rRNA from 1 species